rnacentral:rRNA from 1 species
UACGAAGGGGGCUAGCGUUGCUCGGAAUGAUUGGGCGUAAAGGGCGCGUAGGCGGCUUACUAAGUUAGGCGUGAAAUUCCUGGGCUCAACCUUGGGAGUGCGUCUGAUACAGGGAAGCUUGAGUGUGAAAGAGGGUCGUGGAAUUUCCAGUGUAGAGGUGAAAUGCGUAGAUAUUUGGAGGAACACCGGUGGCGAAGGCGGCGUCCUGGUUCAUUACUGACGCUGAGGCGCGAAAGCGUGGGGAGCAAACAGG